GGGCGGGCGGGCGGGGCGGGGCGGCCGGGCCGGCUGCGUGGCGGUUGGGAAGCAUCGGGCCGGGCGAGUUGCUCCUGUCGAGGCUGCGUCCAGCCUGGAGGAAGCAGAAACCCGCGGCUCCGCGGGCUAGACUUCCCAGAGCAUGGCCAAGCCCAACAGGUGGAAGCCACAGGGAGGCCCGUCUAUACUUGAUUGAAGGGGAGGGCCCGCUGCCGGAACGGUGGUUGGUGGACGCACGUCCCUGCGACCCGGCAGCCAUCUGCCGAAAGGCUGAGCUUUGUAGGGUUAAGAGCGUGGGUCUGGAAAUGAGCAGUCGCCCUGCUUAGGAUUGGAAGAGGUCAUUUAAUUCUCCAAGCCUGUGUUUCCUCGUAUUCAAAAUGUUGAUAAGGACAUUCUCCCCGCUGCCUCAUCGAGUGUGGCAGAAGUUCACUUUGAUAGCAGCAUGUGAAAGGAGUUGACAGCAGUGACUCCAUUUUGUACCCUGGACUCCAUCUUGUUAAAAACAGGAAACUGUGCUGACCUUGCUGACUUGCCAAAAGGGAAUUAUUUUCUGAGAAAGGACUUUCUGAAGAACCGUGCAAAAAAUAUACUUUUCUGGUAGCAACAAGAUGUCUUCGGGUAAGCCAAUGAACUGUAUGGUAAAUUGACCCUCCCUAACAAACACCUGAGGGCGUUCUCACUUUUCAGGGCAAAACUUGUCUGGCUGCUGCCAGCACCUGUGUUCCCCGAAUUGCAAUUCUGAGACCCCAAAUAAAUGCUCUUCUUUUUUCGCUUGCCUCUGUUGUAGGUUGACAAUGCUUUGCGCAGUAAUGACAAGAAGCGCUAACAAUUAUUGACUCCAUCCCAGUACUACCGAGGCACUUUCCAUGUGCAGUUUCAUUUAAUCCUCACAGCAACUCUUUGUGAUGUGGAAGCUGAGGCUCAGAGGUUGGAGAUGACUUGCUGAUGGGGAUGGAGCUAGAACUAGGUGUCCUGAACCUCAGUCGGGAGCCAGGAUGCAGUCAGCCAGCCCCCAUGGCCUCUCUGUUCCUGGGCCUUCCUGGGCCAGCAGGGCGUACCCCUUACUUGGGCUUAUCCUUGUGUUUUCAGCCAAAGAAGGCUACAGAGUCGCCCUAAAGAUUCUCCCUCCCCAGAGAGCUGUGUGCUCCUGGGGGUCAGCAGCGUCAAAGCGGAUGCCACUGGAUUAGAGUGUAAAUGGAGCGGCAGCUGAUGAGGAAACGCCUUUCAGUGACUUUGACAGUCCAGAGGCAGUGUCCUUCCCCUGCUCCUGCUGCAGCCCAGCCCCUGACUGGGUGCAGGCAGAAGGAGAAUGUGCAGUGAGCCCUCGGGUAGGACAGGCUGGCCAGAGUGAAUGUUAGUGAGCACCCUUCCAAGGAGUAAAUCAGCAGUCCUCAAAGGAGGAGAGGGGGCCCAGACUAGAUGUGCACGACCUCACCCCGUGCUUGGGGCUCCAGCUCCUGGAGGGAAGGAAUAGGUUUCUCUUACUUGUUUCUACAGUGCACUGCAAGAUGGUCAUGAGGUCUCCAGACACUGAAGUUACCUUUUAUUUCUAACAUAGAAAUCGCAUCUCUCCUUUUGAGUUGCACAGUAUUGAUCUGUAGGACUUGCCCUUCAUCUAAUAGCUUCUGGAAUUUUCAUUCUUAUAGCUGCUCACAAAGCCUUUGUAAAAAGUACUUUGCAAAUGUACUUUCCCUUUUAGCCUUUCUGGAAACACAGGGUAAAAUGAUCUGCCUUUACAUUUUCUAGCCUAGUGGCAAAGGCUCUGAACUCAGGCAGACCCAGAUUUCUUUUCUUUACUUUUCUUUCUUUUUGGCUGAGGAAAACUGGCCCUGAGCUAACAUCUGUUGCCAAUCCCUCUCUUUUUGCUUGAGGAAGC